AAGGAGUCCGUGAAGGACGGUUGUCAAGAGAUGAGGCGUCAACAAGCAAGAGAUAUGCUAGCAACUUUGGUAAGAAGAAGGAUAGUGAGACCAAUGCAGUAAUCAAUGGGAGGCAGAGGAGGCCUCAGAUCCGAAGAAAUCCACCACCCCUUCAACAUCAUCAUCAUCAAGUGUCAUCAGUAAUUCCGGUAUUUUCUAAUCAACAAGCAACACCAAUUCAACAACAACAACAACAACAUCAACAUCAACAACAACAACC
rnacentral:lncRNA from 1 species